UAGGGAAUCUUCGGCAAUGGACGAAAGUCUGACCGAGCAACGCCGCGUGAGUGAAGAAGGUUUUCGGAUCGUAAAACUCUGUUGUUAGAGAAGAACAAGGACGUUAGUAACUGAACGUCCCCUGACGGUAUCUAACCAGAAAGCCACGGCUAACUACGUGCCAGCAGCCGCGGUAAUACGUAGGUGGCAAGCGUUGUCCGGAUUUAUUGGGCGUAAAGCGAGCGCAGGCGGUUUCUUAAGUCUGAUGUGAAAGCCCCCGGCUCAACAGGGAAGGGUGAUUGGAAACUGGGAGACUUAAGUGCAGAAGAGGAGAGUGGAAUUCGAGGUGUAGCAGUGAAAGGCGUAGAUAUAUGGAGAAACACCAGUGGCGAAGGCGGCUCUCUGAUCUGUAACUGACGCUGAGGCUCGAAAGCGUGGGGAGCAAACAGG
rnacentral:rRNA from 1 species